rnacentral:misc_RNA from 1 species
AACGCACCUUGCGCUCUUUGGUAUUCCGAGGAGCAUGCCUGUUUGAGUGUCAUGAAAUUCUCAACCUUGCAAGCUUUUUUGUUGAAAGGCUUUAGUAAGGCUUGGAUAUUGGGAGUUUGCUGGCUCAUUUGAAGUCGGCUCUCCUUAAAUCUAUUAGUAAGAUCACUGCUGAAAUAUCUUUGAUAUGAUAAUUAUCUAUAUCAUUGAUAAUACUCAGCAUUUUUCUUCCAAGGAAAAGGAUCAGGCUUAUAACUGUCUUCAGACAAUUUUGAUUCAUUUGACCUCAAAUCAAGCAGGACUACCCGCUGAACUUAA